AGAAGAAGGAGGAGGAGGAGAAGGAGGAGGAGAAGAAGAAGGAGAAGAAGAAGGAGGAGGAGGAGGAGAAGAAGGAGAAGAAGAAGUAGAAGAAGAAGGAGGAGGAGAAGAAGAGUAAGAGGAUGAUUAUAGUACUUAUCUUAUUUUGACCUUAUUAUGUUAUUUAGGAGGAAGAUACGCUAAACUAUGAGCUAACAAAGUUUCUUGUGAUGUUUUUACCUAACUAAGC
rnacentral:lncRNA from 1 species